UACGUAGGGGGCAAGCGUUGUCCGGAAUCAUUGGGCGUAAAGAGCGUGUAGGCGGCUUGGCAAGUCUCGCGUGAAAUCCUGCGGCUCAACCGCAGGCGGUCGCGGGAAACUGCCUCGCUAGAGUCCGGAAGAGGAGAGUGGAAUUCCUGGUGUAGCGGUGGAAUGCGCAGAUAUCAGGAAGAACACCCGUGGCGAAGGCGGCUCUCUGGGACGGUACUGACGCUGAGGAGCGAAAGCCAGGGGAGCAAACGGG
rnacentral:rRNA from 1 species